rnacentral:rRNA from 1 species
CGGGUGAGUAAUACAUCGGAACGUGUCUUCUAGUGGGGGAUAACUGCCCGAAAGGGCAGCUAAUACCGCAUGAGACCUGAGGGUGAAAGCGGGGGAUCGCAAGACCUCGCGCUGGAAGAGCGGCCGAUGUCCGAUUAGCUAGUUGGUGAGGUAAAGGCUCACCAAGGCGACGAUCGGUAGCUGGUCUGAGAGGACGACCAGCACACUGGGACUGAGACACGGCCCAG